rnacentral:rRNA from 1 species
AUGAUUUCCCUAGUAACGGCGAGUGAAGAGGAAAGAGCUCAAAGUUGGAACCUGUUUGGCCUAGCUAAACAGGAUUGUAAACUGUAGAAGUGUUUUCCAGGCAAUCCGAGUUAAUAAGUCCUUUGGAACAGGGCAUCAUAGAGGGUGAGAAUCCCGUCUUUGAUUCGAGAAUUUUUUGCCUUUUGCGAUACACUUUCAAAGAGUCAGGUUGUUUGGGAAUGCAGCCUAAAUUGGGUGGUAAAUCUCACCUAAAGCUAAAUAUUGGCGAGAAACCGAUAGCGAACAAGUACCGUGAGGGAAAGAUGAAAAGAACUUUGAAAAGAGAGUUAAACAGUAUGUGAAAUUGUUAAAAGGGAACCGUUUGGAGCCAGACUGGCUUGUCUGUAAUCAAUCUAGGCUUUGGCCUGGAUGCACUUGCAGACUAUGCCUGCCAACGACAAUUUGAUUUGAGGGAAAAAACUAGAGGAAAUGUGGCCAGCUUUUUUUUGUUGGUGUUAUAGUCCUUUAGAAAAUACCUUGGAUUGGAUUGAGGAACGCAGCGAAUGCUCUUGUGGCGAGUCUUUGAUAAGUCUUUACAGAUAUGACUGGGUGUUAAAAAACCCAGAACUUGAAGUUUAAACUUGUUUUUUUGUACUUUAAUUCGCUUAGGUUGUUGGCUUAAUGACUCUAAAUGACCCGUCUUGAAACACGGACCAAGGAGUCCACCAUUAGUGCGAGUAUUUGGGUGCCAAACCCAUAUGCGCAAGGAAACUGAAUGAUAUGAAUCCAUUUAGGAGGCAAUAUCGUCCGGCGUUGACGUUUUAUACUGAAGUGACCGAGAUAAAGCACUAAUGAUGGGACCCGAAAGAUGGUGAACUAUGCCUGAAUAGGGUGAAGCCAGAGGAAACUCUGGUGGAGGCUCGUAGCGAUUCUGACGUGCAAAUCGAUCGUCAAAUUUGGGUAUAGGGGCGAAAGACUAAUCGAACCAUCUAGUA